UUAAGAUCCAAAAAGUGGGAGAAACCCAUUGUCUCUCCUCGCUCCCUCUUCUCUUUCACACGCUGCAACAGCGGCCCAAGCCGACGACUGCCAACGCAACAGCUCUGUCGUCCACAGGUCACCAAAGGCUGUCAAACUACACAUCCUGAAUGCUCUUGCCGUCCUGUAUCCAAUCCCCAAGUUCGUUUCUAUAAAUUCGUAGGCGGUUUUCCGCAAUUUCCAAUUUAAGAAACGGUGACCCAGGGUUUUCCAUCCAACUUCCGGCCAAUAUCGCAGUAAUUGGACCUCGACCUAAGACGUAGAAAUGAUCCUCUUCUCGUGGGCUGUUCUCCAAUGUUGAUAGUUGAAGCAUGUCUAUAACAUGGUGUGGGAUUGAACUCUGUAGAACCUUGUAAUGUUGUGAAUAGGCAAUGAAUGAACUCUGUUGCAUAGGAAUUAUAAAAUUCAUGGAAAGAAUGUGAAAAUGUGGAACGAAAUUAGAAAAUGGGGGCCAAAAUCAUGUUAUGAUGAAGACAAUAGCUUAGCCCGA